AAAGCUUGAACAAAGAGAAAAAGGGUUGAGGGAGAGAAAAACUUACGAACGCGGAAGCAGAGACAGAGUCUCACUUGAUAGAGGGUUCACUAAGAAUCUCUUAGGCACACUCGAAGGAGGAUCUCACUCGUGCUUAGAUCUCUCAAGCUCUCUCACUCAGAAGCUCCCACACUCUCUCACACGCUAAAAAAAAAAAUCGCAAUGCCUCAAAGUCUCGCUCA
rnacentral:lncRNA from 1 species